rnacentral:rRNA from 8 species
GACUCUCGACAACGGAUAUCUCGGCUCUCGCAUCGAUGAAGAACGUAGUGAAAUGCGAUACUUGGUGUGAAUUGCAGAAUCCCGUGAACCAUCGAGUCUUUGAACGCAAGUUGCGCCCGAAGCCGUCAGGCCGAGGGCACGUCUGCCUGGGCGUC